CCCCCCUCCCUCCCCCCCCCGCCACGGGGGCCUCGGGAGGCCGCAGUAGGGAAUCUUCGCAAUGGACGAAAGUCUGACGGACGACGACGCGUGAGUGAAGAAGGUUUUCGGAUCGUAAAACUCUGUGUUCGGGAAGAACGAUCUGCGAAUAAGAUCGGACUCAGUACCUACCAGAAGACGCUACUCGCGCUGCCCCC
rnacentral:rRNA from 1 species